rnacentral:rRNA from 1 species
UACGUAGGGUGCGAGCGUUGUCCGGAAUUAUUGGGCGUAAAGAGCUCGUAGGCGGUCUGUCGCGUCGGAAGUGAAAGCCCACUGCUUAACGGUGGGUCUGCUUCCGGUACGGGCGGGCUGGAGUAUGGCAGGGGAGACUGGAAUUCCUGGUGUAGCGGUGGAAUGCGCAGAUAUCAGGAGGAACACCGGUGGCGAAGGCGGGUCUCUGGGCCAUUACUGACGCUGAGGAGCGAAAGCGUGGGGAGCGAACAGG